rnacentral:rRNA from 1 species
AUGAACGCUGGCGGCGUGCCUAAUACAUGCAAGUCGAGCGAACGGACGAGAAGCUUGCUUUUCUGAUGUUAGCGGCGGACGGGUGAGUAACACGUGGAUAACCUACCUAUAAGACUGGGAUAACUUCGGGAAACCGGAGCUAAUACCGGAUAAUAUUUUGAACCGCAUGGUUCAAAAGUGAAAGACGGUCUUGCUGUCACUUAUAGAUGGAUCCGCGCUGCAUUAGCUAGUUGGUAAGGUAACGGCUUACCAAGGCAACGAUGCAUAGCCCACGUGAGAGGGGGGUCGGCCACACUGGAGCUGGGACACGGUCCUGGCGCCUACGGGAGGCAGCAGUAGGGAAUCUGCCGCAACAGUCGAAAGCCUGACGGAGCAGCGCCGCGUGAGUUGUAGCGGUCUUCGGAUCGUAAAACUCUGUUAUUAGUUAAGAACAUAUGUGUAAGUAACUGUGCACAUCUUGACGGUACCUAGUCAGAAAGCCACGGCUAACUACGUG